GAGAAAUGUGAGUGAAUGUGUUCAAAGUGCCAAUCAUUAAAUUACGCCCUUAAUGUUACACACUAGAAAUGCGCCUAGUCUGUCUAUCGGCAAUUUUUGCCUUGGUUCUUACAUCACUUUUCCAUUAUAUUUAUCUGCCUAUUCUCUCAUGCUUUCCACACUCACUCCAGGUGCAACACUGAUCUUACAAUCAGUGCCCUAUCCCUAGGAAUGCUGGAAAGUGAACUGGGCAUGUCUGACAGUUACACAUCUGCAGUUGGAAGAGCUCUUCACAUUGCAACAUCCUGAAAGGGGUAGAAGAGAGUGAGUCUGCUCAGUCUGAUCAUGCAAAACAGGCUCUGGUGUCUCUCCCUUAAAGCUGCUCAAUGAUGCCUUGUAUUUAUCAUUAGUGGGCUGGUC